rnacentral:rRNA from 1 species
UCGAGAAUAAUUCACAAUGGGCGAAAGCCUGAUGGUGCAACGCCGCGUGGAGGAUGAAGGUCUUCGGAUUGUAAACUCCUGUCAUCGGGGAGUUAGUACCCGAGAGGAAGGACGGCUAACUUCGUGCCAGCAGCCGCGGUAAUACGAAGGUCCCAAGCGUUGUUCGGAAUCACUGGGCGUAAAGGGAGCGUAGGCGGCGUGGUAAGUCAGAUGUGAAAUCCCGGGGCUCAACCCCGGAACUGCAUCCGAUACUGCCGUGCUUGAGGGUUGGAGAGGUAGCUGGAAUUAUCGGUGUAGCAGUGAAAUGCGUGGAUAUCGAUAGGAACACUCGUGGCGAAGGCGAGCUACUGGACAACAUCUGACGCUGAGGCUCGAAGGCUAGGGGAGCAAAAGGGAUUAGAUACCCUUGUAGU